rnacentral:rRNA from 1 species
ACUACGGGAGGCAGCAGUGAGGAAUAUUGGUCAAUGGGCGCGAGCCUGAACCAGCUCAUUGUCGUGAAGGAUGACUGCCCUACGGGUUGUAAACUUCUUUUAUAAAGGAAUAAAGUGAGGCACGUGUGCCUUUUUGUAUGUACUUUAUGAAUAAGGAUCGGCUAACUCCGUGCCAGCAGCCGCGGUAAUACGGAGGAUCCGAGCGUUAUCCGGAUUUAUUGGGUUUAAAGGGAGCGUAGAUGGGUUGUUAAGUCAGUUGUGAAAGUUUGCGGCUCAACCGUAAAAUUGCAAUUGAUACUGGCAGUCUUGAGUACAGUUGAGGUAGGCGGAAUUCGUGGUGUAGCGGUGAAAUGCUUAGAUAUCACGAAGAACUCCGAUUGCGAAGGCAGCUUACUAAACUGCCACUGACAUUGAUGCUCGAAAGUGUGGGUAUCAAACAGGAUUAGAUACCCUAGUAGUA